AGGUAAACUGUCCCACCUGCACCAUGGCGGGUCCACCACAGCCCGUCUACAAGGGGAGUUUCAUGGACAGAUUUCCCUACAUCUUGGCUGCUGGGAAGUUGUUUCCAACAGGAGAUACAGUUGCACAGUGCCUCACUGAAGCUUUGCCCAAGCCCAUCACUCCAGAUACUGUGAAAAAGUUUCGAAAUACGACAAAUCCAGCUCCUGGUGCUAAAAGAAUAUUCUAUGGCACAGCAGAUGAUCCUGACGUUGCAGCUGACUUGACGCACGGCAUAGCAUCACCUUCUUCAGUUCCUGUAAAAUCACUGGUAAAUCCGCCUCCUAAAACUAAUUUUCAACAAAAAAUGCAAGACAGAAAAGAAUCAAUCUACUUUAGUAAUCGUGAAGCACCCUUGGGCAGGUCACAUGAUCAAUCUCCUAUGUUACCCGAGGGCUUGGAUGUAACCAAUACCACAUUUGGAACAAAAACUGUCCAAGAUAUACCAGCUGGAGUGCUUAUAAAUCCUCCAAAAACUUUUGCGGAAGUAGACAAAGAAGCCAGAGAAGGACAUGAUUUGUAUGUUGUGUCACACAAUGAUUAUUAUUGUGGGGAAGCAAUAAAUAGGAAGUAUGACUCACCAAACUUCAACAAGUCUCAUGUGUAUGGAAUAGAAACCCCUCACUUUGAAGAUGGACGAAAUGUAUCCAAAUCCUUAAAUUGGCUCUAUGAUUGGCAAUUGAAAAGAGCAGCACAGAUUGUAUCCAAAAGGAAUGAUGAUUUCAAGGAAAAAUUUCAGCCUCAGGUUGGAAAAGUCUUUGAUCCCAUAGCGGAAACAAUGAAUGUGCCUGCAAACCAUACCUUUGGAAUGUUACUCCGUCCAGAUGAAUAUGGCGUUGGAGACCUUCUUCACUGCAGGGUUCCAAGUGAGUUCCUCCGUGGCAAGGACAGAGAGAGAGCUGUCUUAGCUGCAGUUCGACAAGCCUUGAAGAAAGCUAACUAUGAAAAUUUUGACAUGUUACUAGAAGCAUUCAAGCAUUAUGAUAAGAAUGGUGAUGGGAAGAUAGACAAAAACGACCUGAGGAAAGCCUGCUUUCAACUUAAUCUGAAACUAGAUAGUGAGCUCUUGGAUUCCUUAUUUGACUAUUGUGAUUUGAAUAAAGAUGGUCUCAUUAAUUAUCUGGAGUUUGCAAACUUUCUGAACUGGAAAGACAAAAUGGCUAUAAAAGAAUUUGAAGAAAAAGUAAUCACAAAAGGGAAAAAAAUAGAUGUUCCUCUUCAAUCUGACACAAAGACAGAUGAUGAGCCACUGUUGAAGCAACAAGAUCUUGUAUUAAAAGAAGCAGGAAGCUCAGAAAAGACACCAAAAACACUUACAAGACCAACAGACAGUGUAUUUGCAGACUAUCAAACAACUUCUUCCCAGUAUAAUGCUGUAGUAGGUGGUCUUCCAACAGACUGUUAUCGAGCAUGUGGUGUUCCAACUAUUCGUUCAGAUAUUCCAGCUCCUCGAAUUCGCCGCGUCAGUGACAGAAAUAAUUAUGGUGAUGAGGCCAAUGCUUAUGCAUUACUGUUCCCUUCUGUCUUCAGUCAAAAGGGAGUGUAUGAAGGAGACAUCUUUAAAUCAAGACCAAAGGCAGAGGUUGCACAAAUACUUCAAAACAUUGGUGCAAACAUUUCAGAUGAAUGAUUUGAAGAAAUAUGGAAGCAAGCCUGUAUGAAACAAGAAAAAGAAGAGGUUCCCACAAGCGGGGAGCGUCCCGAAUCCAUGAGAACGUGGCGCGCAUCGUCAGCGAGCACUUGCAGAGUUUCAGCUCCGGCAGCGCUGGGCUUUCUCCUCCGCACGCACCUCUGCCAACUCUGAGGGAGAAGCAGGAUGAAGGCGCCUGGGUCACAGUGGCCGCUCCCUGCCACCCACUGUGACAGAGUCGCCGCUGCCCGGGGGGUGAAGGUGAAGGCCCUCAGCACCUAGCAGGACGCUGUUGGCUGUGUCUAUGCUGACGCUGGGUGCUUGCCAGACUGCAGGAAGUAGGAUUUGCUUGCCUCCACGUACUGGGCAUUGCUCCUUUUGCCAUUAGCACAAAUGGAGCUUUUCCUAGGACAUGGCUGCAGCCCUGGAGCCUUCCUAGGUCAGCCUUUCUCUUGUCCCCAGUUUCAGCUCUCAUGGACAGGAAAGGUCCCGGACUGACAGAGUAGCAGAAGGACACCAGCCGAGUGGGGUUGACAUCCCCACAUUGUGCAUGUCUGAGCACGCUUAAUAUGGCGAUUUUAGUUUUGAUGCGAGGGCAUUGGCUGCAGAGACCCGCCCGCGGUCUGAGCCUAUGGCUGCAGCAUAAGUACAGUUAUGAGAGUGUGGCCUGGUGCUGCUGAGUGCUACUGUGGCCACAAGGUGUGGGCUGGGCUUCUCCCCUGAUCUCUGCCCCAGUGGGCCCAGGUGUGUUUGCACUGCUGCAGGAACCGUGUGACGCACACACCCUCCUGACACAUCCAGAACAUUUUAAUAAAAAUGAUAUAAAAAUAA